GAGGGGGUAUAUACAGCCUAAAAAAUUGCUAGUUUUUCAGGCCCGCAGUUAAAGUCUGCGGCUCCUUCGG
rnacentral:tRNA from 1 species